AUGCUCACUUUGGCAGCACAUAUACUAAAAUUGAAACAAUACAGAGAAGAUUAGCAUGACCCCUGGGCAAGAUUCAUUUAUUUUUUUUUAUAUUUUAUAACCAUAGUU